rnacentral:rRNA from 1 species
GAUGAACGCUGGCGGCGUGCCUAACACAUGCAAGUCGAACGGAGAUGCGAUGUGAGCGAGAGGUGCUUGCACUGAUUAAUCUUUUCGUAUCUUAGUGGCGGACGGGUGAGUAACGCGUGGGUAACCUGCCUUAUACCGGGGGAUAACACUUAGAAAUAGGUGCUAAUACCGCAUAAGCGCACGGUGUCGCAUGACACAGUGUGAAAAACUCCGGUGGUAUAAGAUGGACCCGCGUCUGAUUAGCCAGUUGGCAGGGUAACGGCCUACCAAAGCGACGAUCGGUAGCCGGACUGAGAGGUUGAACGGCCACAUUGGGACUGAGACACGGCCCAGACUCCUACGGGAGGCAGCAGUGGGGAAUAUUGCACAAUGGGGGAAACCCUGAUGCAGCGACGCCGCGUGAGUGGUGAAGUAUUUCGGUAUGUAAAACUCUAUCAGCAGGGAAGAUAAUGACGGUACCUGACUAAGAAGCUCCGGCUAAAUACGUGCCAG